CCUCUCCCAUGCCGCCACCUUCGAGAUCGUGAACCGAUGCUCUUACACAGUGUGGGCCGCGGCCGUGCCUGGCGGCGGACGCCAGCUCAACCAGGGGCAGUCGUGGACCAUCAACGUGAACGCGGGAACCACCGGCGGCCGCAUCUGGGGCCGCACCGGCUGCUCCUUCGACGGGAGCGGACGCGGGCGGUGCCAGACGGGCGACUGCGGCGGCGUGCUGUCAUGCACGGCGUACGGCAGCCCGCCCAACACCCUGGCGGAGUUCGCGCUCAACCAGUUCAACAACCUCGACUUCUUCGACAUCUCCCUGGUCGACGGCUUCAACGUGCCAAUGGACUUCAGCCCCACGUCAGGCGGCUGCCGCGGCAUCCGGUGCGCGGCGGACAUCAACGGGCAGUGCCCCGGGGCGCUGAAGGCGCCGGGCGGCUGCAACAACCCCUGCACCGUGUUCAAGACGGACCAGUACUGUUGCAACUCCGGCAGCUGCAGCCCGACCGACUACUCCCGGUUCUUCAAGAGAAACUGCCCCGACGCCUACAGCUAUCCCAAGGACGAUCAGACGAGCACCUUCACCUGCCCCGGCGGCACCAACUACAGGGUUGUCUUCUGCCCUUGAGAUCACUGACGCCACUAAUAAGCCGCCCUCGUGCAGGCAACCACGCAUAUAGAUAUAUAUACUAGUCUCCUACAAUACAAAUAAGAUGUCAAGAGUGAUGGAAGGUAUUAGCCUUCUCUUGGGCUAAUACUGUUGACUGAUGUAAUAGAAGUGGUGCAACCAACUAAUAAGAUGCAUAAUAUCAUCACAGCAUGAGUGCUUUUCCAUUGAUGUUUGAAUCAUUUUGUGAGAGCAAUCAGCUUAUGCAAUCAGCAAAAAGAAUAAUUAAACCAUUUCUAUUUAUGUCUUGUUGGCUUAAAACAUGAAUUGAUUUUGAAACAUAAUGAACCCUACAUAUAUAACUUCAUAAAAGAUAUCUCAAGGACCAUACAUUAUACAUACAUAUAUACAUAUAUAUACAUAUAUAUACACAUAUAUAUAUACAUAUAUAUACACAUAUAUAUACAUAUAUAUAUAUAUACAUAUACAUAUAUAUAUAUAUAUNNNNNNNNNNNNNNNNNNNNUAUGUAUAUAUAUAUAUGUAUAUAUAUAUAUAUCAUUUAGGAUGAUGAGUCAUCGCCUAUCCAAUUUGGACCUCUGCCAUUCUCCGUAGAAACUUUGCGUAGCCAUUUUCCAAUACAAUUGCGCGUUGACCAGAGUGCGUCCAUGUGAUCCUCCCCGGUAAGUUUGGUGCCCGAAAUUAUCCGGCAAGUAUGGCUUUAAAUAUUGGAAUUAGUUGCUCUUUGUUUUACGUAGGCCGAUCAAGAUGAACAGAGAGAAUGAUGCUGACUAAUUGAGCCCUGACCAAUCGAGGGCUUCAGGACUCGAGCCCCGACGCGCCCUCGGGAAGCUGCCGCGGGAGGCGGACAUCGAUGGGCAGUGCCCGCAGGUGUUGAGGGCGCCGCGGCGGGUGCACCGCUCGACCGUGUCCAAGGCGGACCGGUACUGCUGCAGCUCCUGCAACUGUGCGUCAAGCGGCUACUUCAGCUUCUUGAGGAGGAACUGCACCGAUGGCUAUAUCUUCCCACAACCUUACGGCCUGGCUUCCACCACUAGUUUCUACGGUAGUCUUCCUCCUCCAAGAGUCGAAUUCAGCUUCCUACAAGAUUAUAAUGAUGGUUUGUAUCAAUUAGUUGUUAAAUUGUAUUUUGGAACCUAAUACAUAUUUUAAAUAUAAAUUCAUAUUUAAAGUUUCUUUAACAUCACAUUUGUCAUGAAUAUAGUGUCAGUAAAUGCUUAAAUUCUGAAACUAUCUUAGAAUAAUUAUAACAUCUCGAGUAAUCUCACAUAAAAAAUGAAUAAGAUUAAAAUUAACUUAUGAUAGUAUAUUACUAUCAAUAUUAAUUUGAAUAUUUUGAUUGCUUGGAUUCAAGAAAAUUGAUAAGUCAAUUAGUUAAUCAAUUGUGACAUUCGAUAUCAAAUUAGUAUUAGGAUAUAGUAUAAUCAAAUUACUAUUAGCGUAUCGUGAGUGAGCUUCGUACUCGUUCAUUGUGAAGUCAUCUUGGGCUAUGUCUUACAUGCCGCGCUAUAUUGAGUCUUUGACAAUGAUUAAUUUUUUUUUUAUAGUUCACACAUAAAAAUAGAUUUUGAACUAUUUAAUUUUAAAAAUCAUAUUAUUUAUUAUAAAAUAUAUUUAUUAAAAUUUAAUUAACUAAUAAAAUUAUUAACUUAUUCACAUAAUUAAGAAAAUCAAUUUUAAUCAUUUUCUUAGCCAUACUAUACAAACAAAAUCACAAUGUAUAUAUUUUUCUUAAAUUUUUAUCUUAAAUGCAUGUUGCUAAUUAUAAUACUUGAUUUAUAUUUAGAUUUAUAUGAUAGUUGAUUAAAAAUAUUAUUUCUUCUCUUAUGUAAUUUUAUCUUUUUAAUAAUCUAUUGUUUAUUAUAUUUUAAUGACUCAAUGCUUGGGAUUAGAUGUUUUUUACUAUAAUUUCAUAAUGCUAUAAUUUAGAAUUGAAGAAAUUGAUUAGGAUUUGGGUUAUAUCUCACACGUACAAUCUUAGAGUUUGAGUUGGGUUUUAAUAAGGAUCAUUUAUUUUUUAUAUAAUAUUUAUUUCCUAUGAUUCACACAUAAAAAUAAAAUUUAAAUUAUUUACUUUCUAAAAAUUGCAUCACUCGUUGAGAAACGAAUCAAUUAAUAAUUUAAUUAAUUUAGUAAUCAUAUUACAUAAAUAAAAUCAUAAUGUGUAGUAUUUUAAAAUUUUUUAUCUUACAUGCAUGAUGCACGAUGAUAAUUAUAAUCCUUGGUUUCUAUUAUAUUUAUAUAGUAAUUUAUUAAAAAUAUUAUUUUCUCACUAAUGUAAUUUUAUUUUAAAAUUUAUUACUAUUUAUUAUGUUUUUAAUGACUCAAUACUAAUGAUCAGAUAUUCUAAUUAGUAGUCAUAUUAGUAAUCAUUAAGAAAUUUAAUUUAAAUUAUUUCAGUAAUAAUAUUACAUAAAUAAAAUCAUAAUGUGUAGUAUUUUUAAAAUUGUUAUCUUACAUGCAUGAUGCAUGAUGAUAAUUAUAAUACUUGGUUUCUAUUAGAUUUAUAUAAUAAUUUAUUAAAAUAUUAUUUUCUCACUUAUGUAAUUUUAGUUUUAAAAUUUAUUACUAUUUAUUAUGUUUUUAGUGACUCAAUACUAAUGAUCAGAUAUUCUAAUUAUAUUUUUUAUAUUUUAAAAUUAAGAGAAUUGAUUAAGAUUUAAGUUGAAAUCAACAAACAAUUAGAGCUAACCCAUAGGCUAGCCACAACUCGUAGAUUAAGCUCAGCAAGCAAGUCAACCCAUAGCCUAUAGGACUCCAAUAUGAUCAGUUAUGUAAUGUACAGACCAAGUCAGAUUUCAUAAACUUAGAUAGAUUCAAGGUAAUUCUAAACUUAUUUAGUCUAUUCAUGUCUAUCUAAUCUAAAUCGAACUCAAUCUAGUCCAAAGUAUACAAGUCUAAGAUGAUUCUAGACUGAUUAAAUGAGAAUUAAAAAUCGAUUUUAUUAUACUAGAGUUAAAUCGAGUUCAAUUGAUUUUAAUUAAACUCGUUUAGAUCGAUUAAGUUCUAGUUAAAUCAGGUUCAAUUAGACCGAUUGAGUUAAGUUAGAUAAAACCUAGGGAUAUGAGUUAUAAAUAAUAUUCAUCAAAUUUCUUCAAUCUAAUUUAUGCUAAAAUAGUUCAAUAAUAAAAAAUAAUAACUGCAAUAAUUAUUGAAUGUUAAUCAGUAUAAUGAAAAAUUCAUAUAAUAACUAUAAUUAUGAUAAGUCAUGAAUUAUAUUUUUAUAUAAUUUUCAAACAUAUUAUAUAAAUAAUCAAAUAAAUAUCCAAGAAAAAUAAUUAGAUUUUUAUUUAUCACAUGCAAAAUUUUAUCAAUAUGACAAAUAAGAAAAUUAUUAAAGAAAAAUCAUAAUUUAUAUUUUUAAAAUUUUGUAUGAACCCUUAUACCAAUCAACCCUAUUUAAUUAGGUAAGCCCAUAAUUGGACUACCUAAAUUGGGCUAACAAUUUGCCUAAUUAGACCCAUUAAGAUUAAAGUUGAUCAAAAUAAAAAAAAGAUCAAAAAUAACUUUUUUUUAAUUUGAUCAAAAACUUAAUUGGUCGAAUUUAAAUCCAACCAAAUAGUUAAAAUAUAGUAAUGAUUAAGCUCGUUUAAAAGAUUUGAUUAAAAUAAAUCAAAUUAAUAAAUUUUAUAAUUGAGGGCAUAUCUCAAAAUAUUUUAAUUCAAAAGGGUAAAACUAUAAUUUUACUGGGAUAUGUAGAGAAAAUAUCUAAUUUCUGAAGAAUAUAAUUAUCAAAAGGACACAAGUUGAAAUUAAAAGACUUUAUAAGAAUAAAUUUAUAAUUUUAAAAAUAAAUCCUAAUCUUUCACCCAGAAAGGCUCUCUCGCAUUUGUCAUUGGUUCCACCAUGCCCACACGCAAAAGUCAACACCGCAGUGUUCGCCCACCACCUGCAUGGACAACGAGGCAGUUGUCCUUAUGCAUUCAAACGAUAACCUCAUCGGUCGUCGCGUUGUGCCAUGCUCAUGAGUGGCUAUUAUCAUCGUGCGCUUGACUAUAACACUUCAAAAACAAUAUGUAUGUCACUGACCGGAAGCUAUCGCGUAGUUACGCACACAUGCCGAUCGAUAACCCCCAGAAUCACUUUGAUGUGUGACUGUGCUCGCUUGUCUUGCUACAUAGUCGUUGGGAACAAUGGCUUUCAGUGUCCAAUCGAUGUUGACCAUGGCCAACAAGCACUACCACAGUGGUAUUACUGUAACCAUUGUACGUAGUGAAGCUAUAUAGCCACUAUAGGUGCAUGCGCACAUAGUGGCACUGUUACAAUCAUCGCACUUAGUAUUAUACCCCAUGGUGCUUCCAUUAGGUACGCAAUUGCUACUCGCGAUUGAACUAAUGACAAUCAAAAGUUGUCGCUCUUAACCAUAUUGUUAUCGACAAUAAGCUAGUCACAGUGAUCCAUUGAUCAAGUACGAGAAAAUUCAUAUCUCCCACAAAUAGGUGAUAAGAUCGAUUAAAUAGAAAAAUAGAUCAAUAAUAUAUAUGAAUCAUUCAUACAUCGUAAAUAAAAAAUUGAAUAACACUUUUUCAUAAGCCAAAGAUGCUAACAAAUAUAUCUAAAAUAAUUUAUUUUACAAACAUGACUCUGAUAUCAAUUGUAAGUAUAAAAACCAUCCUUAUGCUAUUGUUAUGCAGAAAACUUUAACACCAAAAUCUAAAAUCAAAUAAUAAUAGAUAAGAUUCAUGAUACGUACAUUUUGAUGCUAGUUAAAAAAGCUCUUAUAUGAUCUAUAGGUACACCAUCGUUGGAUCUGAAAGUUAUAGUAAUAUCGAUCUAUAAGAAGAAUUAGACUCAUCGUUUUCUCAUUUUCUAUCCUUUAUAGGACCACUACAAUGGAUUUAGAGACUAAGGGGAGAUGAGAGAAGAUUUAUAAUUUCUCACUGACUUAUUCACAAAAAUUUAUAAUUUUUUAAUAAUAUUUUGUAAACACGUAUCGUUUUUAUCUUCUUAUAGUAUUUCUAGGUGAGAAUAGAAAAUCUAUGAUAAGUAAUGAAUAGGGUCUUUCUAAUCAAAAUCUAUCUCUUAACGAAUUUUAUGAUAAUUUAAUUUUUUAUCAAUCUAUAAUCAUAAUUAAAAUUUAAUCAUAUCUAUAAUAUAUCUUAAAUAAAUAAUUAGUGAUAUAUAAUCUGACACCUCUCUCUUCUCUCCCUUAUAAAUUCCCCACCUCUCCACCCCUCGGAUCUGCACAACACAGAGCACGAAGCCUAAGACUCGCCGUUAGAUGGCUUCGUCAAGCAUUCUCUCCCUCUCCUUCUUCUCCCUUCUUGUCACCCUCUCCCAUGCCGCCAACUUCGAGAUCGUGAACCGAUGCUCUUACACAGUGUGGGCCGCGGCCGUGCCCGGCGGCGGACGCCAGCUCAACCAGGGGCAGUCGUGGACCAUCAACGUGAAAGCGGGAACGACCGGCGGCCGCAUCUGGGGCCGCACAGGCUGCUCCUUCGACGGGAGCGGCCACGGGCGGUGCCAGACGGGCGACUGCGGCGGGUUGCUGGCGUGCACGGCGUACGGUAGCCCGCCCAACACCCUGGCGGAGUUCGCGCUCAACCAGUACAGCAACCAAGACUACGUGGACAUCUCCCUGGUCGACGGCUUCAACGUGCCUAUGGACUUCAGCCCCACGUCGGGCGGCUGCCGCGGCAUGCGGUGCACGGCGGACAUCAACAAGAAGUGCCCCACGGCACUGAAGGCGCCGGGCGGCUGCAACAACCCCUGCACCGUGUUCAAGACGGACCAGUACUGCUGCAACUCCGGCAGCUGCCAGCCGACCGAGUACUCCAAGUUCUUCAAGAGCAACUGCCCCGACGCCUACAGCUAUCCGAAGGACGAUCCGACGAGCCUCGUCGCCUGCCCCGGCGGCACCAACUACAGGGUUGUCUUCUGCCCUUGAGAUCACCGACGCCACUAAUAAGCCUCCCUCGUGUAGGCAACCACGCAGAUAUAUAUAUAUAUAUAUAUNNNNNNNNNNNNNNNNNNNNCCCGACGCCUACAGCUAUACCGAAGGACGAUCCGACGAGCCUCGUCGCCUGCCCCGGCGGCACCAACUACAGGGUUGUCUUCUGCCCUUGAGAUCACCGACGCCACUAAUAAGCCUCCCUCGUGUAGGCAACCACGCAGAUAUAUAUAUAUAUAUAUAUAGCAGUCUCCUACAACACAAAUAAGAUGUCAAGAGUGAUGGAAGGUAUUAGCCUUCUCUUGGGCUAAUACUGUUGACUGAUGUAAUAGAAGUGGUGCAACCAACUAAUACGAUGCAUAAUUAUCACAGCAUGAGUGCUUUUCCAUUGAUGUUUAAAUCAUUUUGUGAGAGCAAUCAGAUAAA
rnacentral:lncRNA from 1 species